rnacentral:lncRNA from 1 species
AAACUUUUUAUUUUGUACUAAGAUGGUCCAUCCGUCAAAGUCUGUGUAUUAUUCCGUUAAAUCGAGGAACAAAACCGUAUUUUUAGGUGAGUAUCCUCUUCUAAAACGACCAAGCCACUGUAAUAUCACAUUCCCUCCCAUUUAUGUUAGAAGCUCCACCAAAACCCCCAAAUUAGAACCCUAGGUUUGCAAUGUCGGAGAUUUCAACGACCUCAAGUGGGACGAGUAGGUACUGCGCCUGUGGGACGAAGAUAAUUCGUCGGACUUCGUGGACAGAUUUGAACCCAGGAAGAAGGUUCGAUGCUUGUGAUAAAAAUUGGGUAAGUUAUUAUUUGGGUUGCAAAAGUUGUUCUUUUCCAUUUGUAAUUGCUUGAUAAGGUCUGAAAUUGGGUAAGAUUUGAUUUGCCAUAAUAGCAGAAGAUGUAUGCAUUAUUUCGAGUGGGUGGAUAAUGAAACUUGUCCAAGAGGAAAACAAGUGGUCCCUGGUUUGCUUAGAAGACUUAGAGCAAUGGAGGAGGAAAGUAGAGCAAAGGAAGAACAUGAGAGCUAUGGAAACAAAAAAGAAAGAACUGCAGCAGAAAUUGAAAGAAAUGGUUCAGGAAAAAAAGGUUUUGGAAUGGGGUCAUGGGCAAAGACAAUUGAUAAUGUGGGUUUCUUUGAUUUUGUCGUGGGGUUUGUUUAUAACAUUUGUGAUGAGUGGGAAGUUGUAAUUGUUAUGGGUUUGUUCCUUUGAAUGUAAUGGUUCUAAAAUGUGCAUUAGUGUUUUGAAAUGUGCAUUAGUGUCCCUUGAAUGUGCAUUAGUGUUCUGAAAUUUUCUUGAAUUGAGGUUAGUUGAAUAUCUGGGAGAUGUCAUUCCAUUGAGUACAACAAAUUAAAAGUCAUUCCAUUCUUGACCACAUAGGCAAUUUACAAAAUGAACAUCCAUAUAAACAUUUGAAUUCCAAUUACAAAGCUUGAGCCCUUGAAACUCAAGACCAGUUAGACCAAUUAUAGAAUUCCAAUUACAAAAUGC